GCUAUCUCCCAUCUGCGCCCCCGCCUGCUGCUGCAACAGGAACGGCGCGGCUAUUUCGCCAACCCACCCCUGCUCGCCCGGCACCUUCCCUACCACUACCAGCCCAGCCAUCUUCCGCCUACCUCCGGCUUACCCUACAGUGGCGACCACCUCUGAGACUAAAUCUUGGUUAGCUCUGAGGAUUUUUCUUGCUUCUCUCUCUCCCCCAGGCAUGCAAGCUCUGCACUGAGUGAAUCCGCGUGGUGGAAAUACAUUUCGAUGCUCAAAAUUAUUAGCAUUCUGAAGCUCAAGGUAGGGUCGUCUCUGUUUUACUUGCUACUUAAGGCAAAUUCAGAUCGAACACAAAAUUGGAUGUGCUCGCUUUCUUCAUGGUAUCGAUAUUCAUCGGUUUCUUUAACAAUCGGGAGGUUGUAUGAUUGGUAGUGCGCGUCAUUCCUGGAUUAUAAGCCCAGAGAGGAUCAGAAUGAUAGAGCUCUCAACUUCCAUGAGCUAUGUUUCAGACUUCAGAGUUUUCCUACUUAAUUUUGCUGAUGUCACGCCUGGACCAGGCUUGGCAUCUUCCAGAUGAGCUGAUGGACAAGACAAUGUUGUAGUUUCCUUUUCGCGGAAAGGGGCAUUGAUAGGAUCAGAAUGGGCGUGCUAAGCAUGGAUGAUUUGUGCAGGCCUCCGUCACUCAUGCUCUGGUGGCCGCUUAGCCGCCCUCAGGACCGGGACGCCAUCUCCGCCUUCAUCGCCGACCUGCGCUCGAUGGCAGUUCGCCUAUCGCCGCCGCCUCCUCCGCCGCCCCCGGAGCCAGAUUAGACGCCU